rnacentral:lncRNA from 1 species
CAGCUCCGGAUGCCAGGAUGCCAGAGGCCAUGUGGUGGCCUAACCCUUCCUACUUUUCCAGGUGAGAAAACUGAGGCUUAGAGGAACUGAACAAUUUGAGCUGAGAGUAAAGAACCAGAACUCAGGUCUCCCGAGUACACAUCCGUCUGUCCAGAAGCGAAGCAGAGACUCUGUCCUCCACUGUAGAGGCCCCGAGGAUAUUGAAGCCCAGAUAAAGCAAGAAUUGGAACCCGAGGAUGGCCCUUACAUUUGAGGCGUCUUGGGGGGUGGGGGGCUUGUGGAAGUCAAAGGAAAGCGGGAAGACAGGAAUGGAGGGGAGAGGGUCUCCCCAAGCCCCAGACUUGCCACUCUGUAACCCCAGUUUUCCAAGGUAAUCAAGACUCUGGGGUCAAGAGACAGGUGAGGAGGAGCAGGCAAGGGAUAUGGGAMCUUAGGGGCUGCCUUCCUGGAAAUGGCGUCCAAAAGUAGCAGGUAUUUGAUGACAUAUCUGCAUUUUGCUUAUGGAAUGGACAUGACUCUUCUUUUUUUUUCUAAAUGUCUUUAUUUGUGUUUAUUUAUUUAUUUUUUAUAUGGUGCUGAGGACUAACCUAGGGCCUCACCCAUGAGGGGCAAGCACUCUACCACUGAGCUACGACUCCAGCCCCUGGACAUGACUCUUCUUUCAUAGCUGUUGAAGAGGUUGGCAAGUCAGCUGCGUCCUUCCCUCAAGACGUGAAGGAAGGCAAAUCUGCAGCAUGCAGGAUGGAAGUCAGACAGAAAGAGGCCUCCUGMAGUGAAGUAUUGGGGCUGUCAUCUUGCCACUGUGACCAGGCUUCUGGGCCCUGUGAGGACAUAGUGGAGCCUUCUGCUUCCAAGAGGAGGCCAUCUUUAGGGGAUGGGUUAGGUGGGAAUCUGGGAAGGCCAGGGGAGGCCUUGAUUAAUGUCCAAGAGAGAUGCCUUCUCGUCCCCCCUUCCUCCCUGUCCUCUGCCCUCCUACUCCCUCAGACAGUCGUGAACUCUUGRUGGGCUCAGAGCCACAGAGUAGCUGUCUUAGCCCGUUGCUGCCUCAGUUUCCCCACUGGCCCACCAGGAUGGCAUCAGAUUUUCUGUCUGUCUCUUCCUUUACGACUGUCCCUGUUUUCUUCCUGGUCCUUGAUGUUUUAGUCCAUCAAACGAGAUUCUAGAAUAUCUCUUCCUUUGUCUCUCCUUAGGUCUGUCAUUUUUCCUAUGUCUCUCCUUAGGUCUGUCAGAUGAUUUUUAUUGUCUUUUUUAAAUGGUGAAAGCCAUAUUACCUAGAAUUUAGAAAAGAGGAGGAAAAGCCAGGUGUGGUUGUGCACACCUGCAAUCCCAUCAACUCUGGGGACUGGGGCAGGAG